rnacentral:rRNA from 1 species
UACGAAGGGGGCUAGCGUUGCUCGGAAUCACUGGGCGUAAAGGGCGCGUAGGCGGCACUGUUAGUCAGGCGUGAAAGUCCUGGGCUCAACCUGGGAACUGCAGUGGAUACUGGCGGACUGAGAGUGUGAUAGAGGAUGGUGGAAUUCCCGGUGUAGCGGUGAAAUGCGUAGAGAUCGGGAGGAACACCAGUGGCGAAGGCGGCCAUCUGGAUCAACACUGACGCUGAGGCACGAAAGCGUGGGGAGCAAACAGG